ACAUAUACAUAUACAUAUAUACAUCCAGACAUAUAAAGAAUCUUGUUAGUAAAAUAGGAAUACCUGUUAGCCAGAAAUAUGAGGGCUCAACAAUUUACAUGACGAGCGGUAGAACUGAAGUUCACCAUAGCAAAUGCACGCUAAGCAAACUUCCCAUGUAUUUGGUACGGGCCUAACAGAUCACAGAUCUCUGUUGGUUUCAAUUCAAAGCCAAAUCUACCAAAUGCGAAAUUUCCAUACUCCUAUAUGCUACCAAAAGGCAAGUAUUCUUUUGUCUACCUUCACGUUUUGGCCUCAUUACAAGUUACAUAAAAUUUUCAAAAACUCCUUUCCUUAAAACAGUUGGAAUGCAGGCUGAACUCCGCUUUAAAACACAAGCUUUUGUGUAGAUCACAAUUCAAAGAAAAACCAUCAAACUAGACUAACAGAGUACCAACAUGAAGUUACUUGGGUUGUAUGGAGGUUGACUCUAUGCAUCAUACAUAGCCUUCCCAAAGAUAACAUAGAAAGUAAAUUCCUGACUGUGAUUGCUAACAUGAUCUUUGCCUUCCUCCAGUGCUGAAUCUAAUUAAAUUCUUGAAGAUCACAUUGCAUGAUAUAUGGUGGGAGAUCUAUAAGAAACUAAGGAAUCUUCAAACCAGUAUC
rnacentral:lncRNA from 1 species